rnacentral:rRNA from 1 species
CACGUACACAACCUCCCUCUUACUGGGGUACAACCUUGAGAAAUCAGGGCUAAUUCCCCUUACGAUUCCGAGAAGGCAUCUGAACGGAAUGAAAGCUCAGGCGGUGAGAGAUGGGUGUGCGUCUGAUUAGCUAGUUGGUUGAGGUAACGGCUCACCAAGGCGACGAUCAGUAACUGGUGUGAGAGCACGACCAGUCACACGGGCACUGAGAUACGGGCCCG